GCACUCGUGGCGGAAUAGGCAGACGCGCAAGCUUGAGGUGCUUGUGGGUUUACCCGUGGGAGUUCGAGUCUCCCCGAGUGCA
rfam:Methylacidiphilum infernorum V4, complete genome.